GGUGGCGUGUCCGAGUGGCCGAAGGUGCUCGCCUCGAAAGCGAGUGUUGUUAAUAGCAACCGGGGGUUCAAAUCCCCCCGCCACCGCCA
rnacentral:tRNA from 1 species